GACCGUUUAUAAUUUUAUUCAAUUUCUCAUUCAUCUUAAAUCAACUCUGGUUGUGAUUGAACAAUGAAGUCAUGACAGGAUUGAAACCCUCUCAUCGUAACAAUGAAAAGGGGAGAGAGAUCAGAAUGAAUCAAAGAAAGAAGAAAUUAAACAAGGAGGCUUGAAAAAUGUAAACUCUGUAUCUUGGUAGACAUCAUUUUCAAUGUUGAAUCAUCUCAUCUCGAACUCUAACAAGUUAUUGUAGAACUUCGUAAUUAUCUUCAUGAACAAACGAAUGGAACCAAACAAAAAGGACUCCAAUAUUCUUUGAGAAAAAUCACAAAAAAUAAGAGUAAUUACGGGCACCUAACAUAAUCAUCCGCAUCAGAUGAUUCACUCCGACUGUAAGGAUCAAGGCUGUGAUGGCAUGGAGAAGGUCCUGAAGGCGGCACUGGACCUCGCGCAAGCCGGUUAUCAAGCAUGUAAUAAUAACUUGCAUCCCUAAUCGAUCUUGUGCAUCUUCCUGUGGAGACCAAUAUUGCCAGGACAAUAACGAAGAGAAGAAAAACAAAUCUCACGCCCGCCCGCAAAGAAGACAUGAUCACCUUUUCUCUCUGUUCUUGCUCAAUUGCUCUCUGGUUAGUUACUCUUGGUGUCCUAUAAAUUGAAUGUGUACAGAAUGUAUAAUACAGAGAGAUUUGGAGAGGAAGAGAUAGCGGGUGAAUUAGAAUGCCGUUUUUGUUGGACUAAAAGGGAUGGUUGGAAAGUUAAUAAAUUUGGAAGUGAAGACAUGAAGGGAAGAGUGGGCUAUAUAAUUUGCAUCUUUGAAUAUUAACUUGCCGAGUGAAAGUCAUGAGUCGAAACCGAAGCACUAGCAGCCAUUUUAG
rnacentral:lncRNA from 1 species